AAAAAAAUAAGCGAGUGGGGAAGAGCCAGCCCCACGCCGGUCCGCCUCCCGCCCGCGGCCCGGCCUCCCUCCCGCCGGCCGCCUGGCUCGGCGCUCCUUCGCCCCGAGUUCUCCAUCCCCUGGAUCGCGGGCUCGCGGGGGCGCGGAGAAGAGGAUCGAGGAAAGGGCCAUCCGCACGGCAGCAUUUAGAAGCUGACUUCGCUGGCGACUGCAAGUGCCUGCGAUUUUUGCUUCCCGUCCACAUUCGGCGUCUUGCACUUAAAUUCGCUGCGCCCCGCAUGCAACAGUGCCUCGCUAAGGGGUCUCUGGGUACAAAAUUCCUCCCAAAGGAAAUGUCUCGAGG